CCUACCUGAUCCGAGGUCAACCUUUGGAAAAUUGGGGGGUUUUACGGCAAGAGUCCCUCCGGAUCCCAGUGCGAGACGUAAAGUUACUACGCAAAGGAGGCUCCGGGAGGGUCCGCCACUACCUUUGAGGGCCUACAUCAGCUGUAGGGCCCCAACACCAAGCAGAGCUUGAGGGUUGAAAUGACGCUCGAACAGGCAUGCCCGCCAGAAUGCUGGCGGGCGCAAUGUGCGUUCAAAGAUUCGAUGAUUCACUGAAUUCUGCAAUUCACAUUACUUAUCGCAUUUCGCUGCGUUCUUCAUCGAUGCCAGAACCAAGAGAUCCGUUGUUAAAAGUUUUGAUUAUUUGCUUGUACCACUCAGAAGAAACGUCGUUAAAUCAGAGUUUGGUUAUCCUCCGGCGGGCGCCGACCCGCCCGGAGGCGGGAGGCCGGGAGGGUCGCGGAGACCCUACCCGCCGAAGCAACAGUUAUAGGUAUGUUCACAAAGGGUUAUAGAGCGUAAACUCAGUAAUGAUCCCUCCGCAGGUUCACCUACGGAA
rnacentral:rRNA from 1 species